CGCGGCCUAUCAGCUUGUUGGUGGGGUGAUGGCCUACCAAGGCGACGACGGGUAGCCGGCCUGAGAGGGUGUCCGGCCACACUGGGACUGAGACACGGCCCAGACUCCUACGGGAGGCACCAAUGGGGAAUAUUGCACAAUGGGCGGAAGCCUGAUGCAGCGACGCCGCGUGAGGGAUGACGGCCUUCGGGUUGUAGACCUCUUUCACCAAGGACGAAGCGGGAGUGACGGUACUUGGGGAAGAAGCACCGGCUAACUACGUGCCAGCAGCCGCGGUAAUACGUAGGGUGCGAGCGUUGUCCGGAAUUAUUGGGCGUAAAGAGCUCGUAGGCGGCUCGUUGCGUCUACCGUGAAAACUGGAGGCUUAACCUUCAGCUUGCGGUGGAUACGGGCGGGCUUGAGUUCGGUAGGGGAGACAGGAAUUCCUGGUGUAGCGGUGAAAUGCGCAGAUAUCAGGAGGAACACCGGUGGCGAAGGCAGGUCUCUGGGCCGAUACUGACGCUGAGGAGCGAAAGCGUGGGGAGCGAACAGGAUUAGAUACCCUGGAAGUCCGCGCUGUAAACGUUGGGCGCUAGGUGUGGGUGACAUCCACGUUGUCCGUGCCGUAGCUAACGCAUUAAGCGCCCCGCCUGGGGAGUAC
rnacentral:rRNA from 1 species